CAGCAGCCGCGGUAAUACGAAGGGUGCAAGCGUUAAUCGGAAUUACUGGGCGUAAAGCGCACGCAGGCGGUUUGUUAAGUCAGAUGUGAAAUCCCCGAGCUUAACUUGGGAACUGCAUUUGAAACUGGCAAGCUAGAGUCUUGUAGAGGGGGGUAGAAUUCCAGGUGUAGCGGUGAAAUGCGUAGAGAUCUGGAGGAAUACCGGUGGCGAAGGCGGCCCCCUGGACAAAGACUGACGCUCAGGUGCGAAAGCGUGGGGAGCAAACAGGAUUAGAGACCCGCGUAGUCCCUGUCUCUUAUAC
rnacentral:rRNA from 1 species